rnacentral:rRNA from 1 species
AGCGAACGCUGGCGGCAGGCCUAACACAUGCAAGUCGAACGGACCCUUCGGGGUUAGUGGCGGACGGGUGAGUAACACGUGGGAACGUGCCCUUUGGUUCGGAAUAGCUCCUGGAAACGGGUGGUAAUGCCGCAUGUGCCCUUCGGGGGAAAGAUUUAUCGCCAUUGGAGCGGCCCGCGUCUGAUUAGCUAGUUGGUGAGGUAAAGGCUCACCAAGGCGACGAUCAGUAGCUGGUCUGAGAGGAUGAUCAGCCACAUUGGGACUGAGACACGGCCCAAACUCCUACGGGAGGCAGCAGUGGGGAAUCUUGCGCAAUGGGCGAAAGCCUGACGCAGCCAUGCCGCGUGAAUGAUGAAGGUCUUAGGAUUGUAAAAUUCUUUCACCGGGGACGAUAAUGACGGUACCCGGAGAAGAAGCCCCGGCUAACUUCGUGCCAGCAGCCGCAGUAAUAC